rnacentral:tRNA from 1 species
UGGGCUAUCGUUCAAUUGGCAGGACACCGGAUUCUGACUCCGCCAAUCUAGGUUCAAGUCCUAGUAGCCCAGCCA